CCCUUAGAUGUUCUGGGCCGCACGCGCGCUACACUGACGAAUGCAACGAGCUUAUAACCUUGGCCGAAAGGUCUGGGUAAUCUCCAAAUUUCGUCGUGAUGGGGAUAGAUUAUUGCAAUUAUUAAUCUUCAAUGAGGAAUGCCUAGUAAGCGCAAGUCAUCAGCUUGCGUUGAUUACGUCCCUGCCCUUUGUACACACCGCCCGUCGCUCCUACCGAUUGAAUGGUCCGGUGAAGCGUUCGGACCGUGGCCUUUGGACGGUUCGCCGUCUGUUGGCUGCGGGAAGUUCGUUAAACCUUAUCAUUUAGAGGAAGGAGAAGUCGUANCA
rnacentral:rRNA from 1 species